rnacentral:tRNA from 1 species
GUCCCAGUAGCUCAGCUGGAUAGAGCAACGCCUUCCUAAGGCGUAGGUCUGGGAUUCGAAUCCCUUUAGAACG